CUUCUUUUAAAUGAUUUGAGAUGGCCUCUCGCCCUAUUCAGUGUAACAGCUGUGGUAGUGGGUUUGGUCGCUCGCAUUUAAAUUGGAAGGGUAAUGGUGGACCGCACUUCUCCCUUAGUAGGACGUUGCGACCUGUCAAAUAAUAUCCUAAGUAUUUGGCUAAUUUGUCUGUUUUUAGGCAGUACUGAAAGGUAUUUCCUUUAACAGUUUUAGCCGUUUAUAUACUGGAUAUAAUUGACAGUAACGAAUCAUGGUGUUGAGCCACUUACUUUGUAAGUGUCCUUUAUGGCUGUUUGCAAGUGGGUUGGUUAAUUAGUUUUAGUCGGAUUUUGGUCCGUCUAACUAUUCCGCCUACUGUUGGUAAACUGUUCCUUGGACAGUGCUUAUAACACCGGUCGGCAGCGAUUCAGGUUCAGGCUCUUAUCCGACCCGUCUUGAAACACGGACCAAGGAGUUUAGCGUGUACGCAAGUCAUUGGGUGUAUAAAACCC
rnacentral:rRNA from 1 species